CCAGCAGCUGCGGUAAUUCCAGCUCCAAUAGCGUAUAUUAAAGUUGCUGCAGUUAAAAAGCUCGUAGUUGGAUUUCUGGCCUGAUGGAGCGAGUCCGCGCUUUCGGGCGUGAGUAUUUGCUGUUAUCGGCCAUCUUGGUCAAAGGCUGGUUGCGAUGCCCUUCACGGGGUGUCGCGGCCAGUGUUGGCCUCUAUUACUUUGAAAAAAUUAGAGUGUUUAAAGCAGGCGUUUUGUUUUGAAUACAUUAGCAUGGAAUAAUAAUUUAGGACUUCUGUUCUAUUUUGUUGGUUAUUAGCGGAAGUAAUGAUUGAUAGGGAUAGUUGGGGGUGCUAGUAUUCAGUGGCCAGAGGUGAAAUUCUUGGAUUCACUGAAGACUAACUUAUGCGAAAGCAUUCACCAAGGAUGUCUUCUUUAAUCAAGAACGAAAGU
rnacentral:rRNA from 1 species